rnacentral:lncRNA from 1 species
CAUUGUAUAAGGUGGUCUUUAAGGUCCUUUGUGGCCCUGAUAUCCUUUGAGAGGUGGGCAGACAAUAAACAAAUGGAAUGCAAAGUAGCAUUAUAGACCAGGAGAGGGCAGAGACAGGUGGCUGGAGUUAGAGAAGCAAAUUCACUCCCUCUCUUCCCCUCAAUUCUGGAGAACUUGCUGUUGAGGCAAGGUACCUGGGCCUGACCAGGUGAAGGGAGUGAUAUAUGCUGGCAGGGCGUGGCCCCAGUAGAGUGCAGAAGAGCUGCCUCUGUCAUGAAGCAGGUCUGCUGAGCUGGGCGAGGCUGCGCUUCCUCCGCCAGGCCAUUCCCUGGCAGCUGCAAGCUCUCUUCUUGGCUCUGGUGCAAACUUCCUGCUUUACAUGAGUCUAAUAUUCCACAUCCGGUGACUUUUGGUGGGUGCUGGAGGCAGGCCCAAGACCUAAGAUCAACAUUCCUACUGCUCCUGGACCUCCUCGUUCCCAGCCAGGGCCAGUUCCGCCUUAAAAUGCAGACAAACUGGGGCACAACAAAUACACCCUAGACCGCCACAAAGAUCUAGUGGCCAGAAAGCCAGGCAUGUCUAUAGCCUCUCCACUUUUUUAACUCUGCCAUGAUCCAAAAAUGAACUCUGAGACAUGGAGGAAAAAAAGAUUACAGGUUGUCCUAAUAAUGGGAACUUGUAAACAGAAGGACCAGCUUCUGGGCACAGUUUCAGCUUGGGGGUGUGGCAAGGAGAACCCUAUUUCAUUAGGUUCUAUUUUUUGCUGGCUGUGUGGCCCUGAGCAAGUCACUUACACUGUCUGGGCAUAUGUCCAGGGAGAUAAGCAUGCUGCUGCCCAAAAUGGUUGUGGGAAUCUGCUGGCAGAGCAAAACAGGCCUGGAGUCUCUUGGAACGAAAUCUCAUGUCAAGGGAUAGUGGGGGUCAGAAGGUGGCCCAUGGGUGGAGAGCCACGGCUGUGCUCACCACUGAUCACUGCAACUCAGUCCUCUAUGAGCCCCCUUCCCUUCUCUGGGCACGUGGAAUCCCAGAGCACCGCAUCUGAAACAGUGGCCAGAGGAGAUAAGGGGAGAGGCCAUGAGGGUGCCUGAAUCCUCCCACAGCCGGGCAAGAGAAGAGGGUUCCAAUGGCUUGAGAGUUGGAUGAUGGGACUCAGCCAGGACUCUGGCUGGCUGGGGCUGCUGGUCUUGUGUCUUUCUCCUCUCCCGUCUUAUUACUCCUAUCAAUAUGAUGCUGUGAGAAGUGGUCUGGGAGUCAGGAGACCUGAGUGCUGGGCUUUGCUGUGUCUCUGAUGCCAUGUGACCCCCUUUGCUGGGGCUCCAGCUCCUCCAUUGUAAGAUGGAGUCAGGUUCAGGGCUGUCUUAAGGGCCCUUUAACUCUGUCAGCCUGUGGUUCCAUGAUUCUCUCUGCCAGGUUUAGUCACCUAGAAACCAGCAGUUACUAGGAUCCCGUGCACGUCAGCAGUUGUCACUCUUUCCGGCUUCUGCAGUCCUUUUGUAGAGACAAGGAGCGUGGGCAGCCUGAAGUUGGACUGGGGAGGUGACGCAGCAAGAAGAGGAGGACCUGGUCUCUUCCCUAGCAUCUCCCUUUCAAUUGAGUGCUGCAGAGAAGACACAGCUAUGAUGAGUUAUUCAUGGAGUCCACGUUCUCCCCACUAGCCUUCUUGAGGCAGGGCCCAAUUGUAUCUUCUUUGACCUUUCCAAAACUGAAGGUUGGGACUGACUCCACGGUGCUG